CUACAUGAACCAGGUGGAGGAGACGCGCUACCGCGUGGACCAGAACCUGCUCAAGGAGUACUUCCCCGUGCAGGUGGUCACACACGGGCUGCUGGGCAUCUACCAGGAGCUCCUGGGGCUGGCCUUCCACCACGAGGAGGGCGUCAGUGCCUGGCAUGAGGACGUGCGGCUCUACACCGCGAGGGACGCGGCCUCGGGGGAGGUGGUCGGGAAGGAAAGUACGGGCACGCAGCCUGCUUUGGCCUGCAGCCCGGCUGCCUGCGGCAGGACGGGAGCCGCCAGAUCGCCAUCGCGGCCAUGGUGGCCAACUUCACCAAGCCCACGGCCGACGCACCCUCGCUGCUGCAGCAUGACGAGGUGGAGACCUACUUCCACGAGUUUGGCCACGUGAUGCACCAGCUCUGCUCCCAGGCGGAGUUCGCCAUGUUCAGCGGGACCCAUGUGGAGCGGGACUUUGUGGAGGCGCCGUCGCAGAUGCUGGAGAACUGGGUGUGGGAGAAGGAGCCGCUGCUGCGGAUGUCGCAGCACUACCGCACAGGCAGCGCGGUGCCCCAGGAGCUCCUGGAGAAGCUCAUUGAGUCCCGGCAGGCCAACACAGGUGCACCCACCCCGUCUG
rnacentral:sRNA from 1 species